rnacentral:rRNA from 1 species
AUUGAACGCUGGCGGCAGGCUUAACACAUGCAAGUCGAGCGGAGUGAUGGUGCUUGCACUAUCACUUAGCGGCGGACGGGUGAGUAAUGCUUAGGAAUCUGCCAUUUAGUGGGGGACAACAUUCCGAAAGGAAUGCUAAUACCGCAUACGUCCUACGGGAGAAAGCAGGGGAUCUUCGGACCUUGCGCUAAAUGAUGAGCCUAAGUCGGAUUAGCUAGUUGGUGGGGUAAAGGCCUACCAAGGCGACGAUCUGUAGCGGGUCUGAGAGGAUGAUCCGCCACAAUGGGACUGAGACACGGCCCAGACUCCUACGGGAGGCAGCAGUGGGGAAUAUUGGACAAUGGGCGGAAGCCUGAUCCAGCCAUGCCGCGUGUGUGAAGAAGGCCUUUUGGUUGUAAAGCACUUUAAGCGAGGAGGAGGCUCUCCUAGUUAAUACCUAGGAAGAGUGGACGUUACUCGCAGAAUAAGCACCGGCUAACUCCGUGCCAGCCGCCGCCGUAAAAC